rnacentral:rRNA from 1 species
CUGGUUCUCCCCGAAAGCUAUUUAGGUAGCGCCUCGUGAAUUCAUCUCCGGGGGUAGAGCACUGUUUCGGCAAGGGGGUCAUCCCGACUUACCAACCCGAUGCAAACUGCGAAUACCGGAGAAUGUUAUCACGGGAGACACACGGCGGGUGCUAACGUCCGUCGUGAAGAGGGAAACAACCCAGACCGCCAGCUAAGGUCCCAAAGUCAUGGUUAAGUGGGAAACGAUGUGGGAAGGCCCAGACAGCCAGGAUGUUGGCUUAGAAGCAGCCAUCAUUUAAAGAAAGCGUAAUAGCUCACUGGUCGAGUCGGCCUGCGCGGAAGAUGUAACGGGGCUAAACCAUGCACCGAAGCUGCGGCAGCGACACUAUGCGUUGUUGGGUAGGGGAGCGUUCUGUAAGCCUGCGAAGGUGUACUGUGAGGUAUGCUGGAGGUAUCAGAAGUGCGAAUGCUGACAUAAGUAACGAUAAAGCGGGUGAAAAGCCCGCUCGCCGGAAGACCAAGGGUUCCUGUCCAACGUUAAUCGGGGCAGGGUGAGUCGACCCCUAAGGCGAGGCCGAAAGGCGUAGUCGAUGGGAAACAGGUUAAUAUUCCUGUACUUGGUGUUACUGCGAAGGGGGGACGGAGAAGGCUAUGUUGGCCGGGCGACGGUUGUCCCGGUUUAAGCGUGUAGGCUGGUUUUCCAGGCAAAUCCGGAAAAUCAAGGCUGAGGCGUGAUGACGAGGCACUACGGUGCUGAAGCAACAAAUGCCCUGCUUCCAGGAAAAGCCUCUAAGCAUCAGGUAACAUCAAAUCGUACCCCAAACCGACACAGGUGGUCAGGUAGAGAAUACCAAGGCGCUUGAGAGAACUCGGGUGAAGGAACUAGGCAAAAUGGUGCCGUAACUUCGGGAGAAGGCACGCUGAUAUGUAGGUGAAGCGACUUGCUCGUGGAGCUGAAAUCAGUCGAAGAUACCAGCUGGCUGCAACUGUUUAUUAAAAACACAGCACUGUGCAAACACGAAAGUGGACGUAUACGGUGUGACGCCUGCCCGGUGCCGGAAGGUUAAUUGAUGGGGUUAGCGGUAACGCGAAGCUCUUGAUCGAAGCCCCGGUAAACGGCGGCCGUAACUAUAACGGUCCUAAGGUAGCGAAAUUCCUUGUCGGGUAAGUUCCGACCUGCACGAAUGGCGUAAUGAUGGCCA